UCCUUGGUGGCUCAGUUGGUAAAGCGUCUGCCUGCAAUGCGGGAGACCCGGGUUUGAUCCCUGGGUCAGGAA
rnacentral:tRNA from 1 species